GGGCUGAUCCCGGCCUGCCUUCCCGGGAGCUGCUCCCGGCGCUCACCGAGGGGCUCCCAUCCCACCUGGGAACGCUCCAGCCCGGCCAGCUCUCGCUCCUGGGGUGCCACACAGCAGGAAACAAAGCUGAAGCACGGCAAACGAGCUCUAGCAAAGGAAAGAGAAAGAAAAUCACCACCAACAUUCAAUUCUCUUUCUUUGCUUCUUCUUUACAGAUAGAAAUGUUUUCUUAAAGGAACUGAUUGCCAGACACAAAUUUUGCUACUUGUGCUUGACAGAAUCCUGAGAAUGAGAAGCCUUUUGUAGCCAGAAAAAAACACAAUGUAAAUUUUCUACUCUUCUACUGCUGAGAUGACUCAAUACCAGUCCACAGGGGUCUGAAGGGAGCCUGGAUGGAUUGUAAUGCACAUGGAUAGACCGAAAUGCUCAGCAGAUGAUUUUGCUUAAAUCUCAAAUGCAAACUUGGGAGCAUUUUCCCAAGAUCCUGAAUUAUACCUGCUGCUAAACACACUCCAAGAGUUCUCAGGCCCCCUGAGCCUGCCUUGCAGUGGAAGUGUCCUGUUGUGUGUAUUCGUGCUGAGUGGAUGCUGCUCCAUACCUCCAGCUCCCCACCCUGCAUUCCUC